GAGAGAGACAUGCGCGCAUAUCAAUAAGCGGAGGAAAAGAAACUAACAAGGAUUCCCCUAGUAACGGCGAGUGAAGCGGGAAGAGCUCAAAUUUGAAAUCUUAAAGGGUUUCCCUUUACGAAUUGUAGUUUAAAGAAGUGUUUUCUGUUGAGGUUUUGGUAAAAGUUCUUUGGAAUAGGACAUCAUAGAGGGUGAGAAUCCCGUAUUUGACCUUUACUUUCAACUUUGUGAUACACUUUCAAAGAGUCGGAUUGUUUGGGAAUGCAGUCCAAAAUGGGUGGUAAAUUUCAUCUAAAGCUAAAUAUUGGCGAGAGACCGAUAGCGAACAAGUACCGUGAGGGAAAGAUGAAAAGAACUUUGAAAAGAGAGUUAAACAGUACGUGAAAUUGUCAAAAGGGAAGCGUUUGACACCAGUGUUGUUUUUCUGAAAAUCAAUUAAAGAACUGUUUAUGCUAAGUUGUUUAGACUUUAUCAGCUAACUGUUUAGUUUUGAGCUUUUCUUUAAUGCACUUUUCAGUUAACAAGUCAACAUCAAUUUCUUUUGCUGUAAAAAAGCUUGAGGAAGGUGGCUUGAGAUUCGUCUUAAGUGUUUAUAGCCUCUUGCCUAUGCAGUCGGAGAGAUUGAGGUCUGCAGCGUAGAUCCUUCGGGGCUAAAUGCAUUUGUGCUAAGUUAUAGCAUUUUAUAGACAACUUGUUGACUAUGAUUUGUCUUGUAGCUUACUCGCUUAUGUUAUUUUACCUACGCUUAGGAUGUUGAGCGCAUGUCUCUCUCU
rnacentral:rRNA from 1 species